GAGAGAGAGAGAGAGAGAGAGAGAGAGAGAGAGAGAGAGAGAACAUGAUGUAGGGUGUAGAGAUGUGUAGGGUCGUGGUGGGUGUCUGUUGUUCUGCUUUUAUGACUCUUUUUUGUUUGUCCCUUCUCUCUACAAAAACCCUUCUUUUCUUCUCACUCUUCAUUACUUAUCAUCUCCAUCUCUCUAUCCCCUUCUUCCUCACACAGCCCCUUGGUUCAAUAUCUCUCAUCCAGAAAUUUCGCAUAAUCCCAUCUCUCUCUCUCUCUCUCUCAUGCGACGAGGUUCAUGAAUAUGUAUCACAAGAAGCGGAGAAGAAUAUGAAGUUUUGAUCUUUUGAGGGGAAUGUUGUCUGGCUCGAGGCCACCAACCAGAUCAUGUGAUCUAACAACACAGAGAGAUCUCUGAUCAUGCGUUAGUGUCGUCGGACCAUGCUUCAUUCCCCCCAAUUGUCCUGCUUCCAGAUUUUGUCCGCUUCGUGUUCAUCCUUGGAUACAGAAAUCGAUCCGGAGACAUUAUUUUCUUCUCUCCAUUGUCUAUGUAUGCUAUUUUUUCCAAGAAACAUAUUGCUGGUUUCUAACAAGUUUUUUCUUUUGGUUUUUGGUGUAGUUGAUGAGAAAUUGAAGUAGGUGGGCAAGACCAGAUUGGUGUAAUGAUGAAGGAUCUUGACUUAUUAGACUCUGCAAAGAAGAGGGGAAGGGAAAAGUUUUCAUCAUUGCUCAACUGGGGGUAUCUUUUUACAAUACUGCCAGGUACCUAAAAAAAAAAAUACUUUGAAAUUAUCCCUCAGGUAUUUAUGACCAUUAAUAGAUUUUUAUGAGCGAUAAAAAAUACCUGUUUGGAGUACCUAGCAUUGCUGAUCUUUUUAAGAAAGAUUUUGUUAAAAGGGGUUUGUUGGUAUGUGUUUUCUUUUUGUCAGUCAUUCUGUUAAGUUUUCCUAAGUAAUAAUUAUGCCGCAAUGAUUUAGUAAUGAUGGCUUCAAGAAUCAGUACUGUCUAUUUCUGUUAUUCCCAGAUCUGCCUUUCACCCUUGAUUGACUUUACAAACCCUAUGAUUAUAGUCAUGAUUACCAUCAGCUGCAGGUUUUUUCCAGCUAGCUAGCUAGGGUUUCAUUUCAGGGUUCCAUAAGUGGGUUUAGUUCUCCCCUUGAUGAGCAACUUGUAUUUAGAAGCAGCCAUAACUUCCACAACAUGUGCAAAAUGAUACUACUCCAUAUACAUUAGAUGUUCUAGCAUUUUAUAGUUAGCAGUCUAAUCAACAAAACUCCUAGUUUAGUGUUUGUUUAAUGCUUAGAAUUAGUAUGUAUGUAAUACCAUUUUACGAUCAUAGAAACUAUUUUGCAGGAGACUCUACUGCAUCGAUUUUGGGGUCAAAGCUGAAGUCUCAUCGAAAACACGGGGACGUUUUGUAAGCGAGCGCUGAUGUGUAUACUCCCUCCGUUCCAAUUUAUUUGUCCAAUUGUCGAAAUUCGUAUCUUUCAAAAAUAUACUUAUAUCUUACAUUUUAUAAUUUUUUUAUGAUUUUGAAGAUUUUGUAUAAUAAAACUAAUUGAGAUCUAUCAAAUAAGAUCCAUAUUACAUAUUAAAAAUAUUACGAAUUAAAAAUUAUAGACAAUUCUUUGAGAGGUCAAACACUCUCAGAAAGAUGACAAACAAACCGGGACGGAGGGAGUAUUUAACUCCACCAAGCGGUUUUGGAAAGCUGAACUUAGCAUUGAUCAGUUCUUGUUAUUUACUACUAGUUGGGAUUCUAGAUUUCAUUUUUGUCUAUUGUAAGGCUGCUUCCAUAUGGUUACAUAUAGCUAGGGCUAUAAUGCUUAUUGACUGUACUUACUUAAGCUAUAAGUGACUUUGGAUUGAUGGGAAAGGCUUGAAA